AGCAGUUAUUCAGAUGCUGUUUUGUGGCAAUCUUUAUACACACAAUGUGAAAUUGCCAAUAGUGAAAUUGACAAGAAAUUGUUUGUUAAUAAAAAAAAAAAAAAAAAGAUCAGAAAUGUUAUGAAACUAGUCUGUACUUACAAUGCAUUGAUUUGUAAACGAGAUGCAGGUCAAGAAAAUUUAGAAUCAGCAGAUAAAGAAAUAGAUUUGAAUGGGUUAACAGAAGACAAAUCAGAUUUAAAUGAACAGUGUAACAAUGUAACAGAGAGCACAUGCUGUAAACAGUCAGAAACAGUCUGUGAAUUACAGGAUAGAGUUGAACUAAGAAGUGAUCUUAUUUGCCAGCUUAGAAAUGAAGUUAAGCAAGUGUGUGUUAAUACAAGAAAAAUACAGACACAGAAUCUAAUCCCAGAACCAAUAGAUACUGAAAAUGUAUCCUCACAGAGUGAUUUGCAGAAAUAUAAAUUUCAAGACAGAGCUGCAAAACUUAAUUUGAAAAUACAUGAACAAUUAAUGAAAAUUGUGAAAUGUAUUCCAGUUUAUGACACGUCAGUGGAUGCAUUUACUAAUGCUGGAAUGUUUGAGUCAAAUGUGGACAAAUACAGCCUAAAUGACGAACAAAGGAAUAGAUUGUUUAAAAUAUGGCUGCCGACUCAAAUGGCAUGUAGACUGACCACGCUUGUAAAAUUUCAGGACAAUGAUAAAAUAAUAUAUGGAAAUUAGGAGACAGACAAGCAAUGCAGCGUAACACAGAAAGUUAUAAGAAUCAGAUAACUUCAAGAGAUAUGAUCAGUUUAGGGAAUGAGCAUGGAUAUGUCUGCCAACAGAUGUACACAGGCUGAUUCCAGAAUUAAGAACAGCACAAGAAUAGAGAUCUAUGUCAGUUUAUUGUUUUAAAUGAAUUGUUAGUCUGUACUGUCUUUCAUUGUUUUUAUAUGUGUUAUAAGAAAGUAUUAGGUUAAUUAAAAUAAAAAUUUAAAUCAAGUUUGCACAUAUGGCAGAAUGAAAUACACUAAUGUAGCAGUGAGGAACAUGCAAUGUUAUAUUGGGUGUAUGCAAUUAUAUAGUAACUCCAAUCAUUUUACAGAAGAAAAAACAAUAGAUUUAUUCUUUGUUGCUUCUGAGGUUGAUUUAAAAUCUUUGAUUUAAUUCAUGAGAAUGAGAUUUUAAUAUCAUGACUGAUAAUGGAUUACUGUAUAUUGCAACGCCUGGACAUACACAUGGUUUGGAUAUACUGAAGACAAAAGGAAUAAUAUAUGGGAAUGGAUAAGGCUGAUUUCCCCUAUCCACAGCCACGCCUACUCCUAAAGUAACAUCGCGUACAUCCUUACUAUGCCCUUUUACUGUAGAAUUUCCCGAAUCCUAAUGACCCAUUCCACUACAUGGUGUGACUUGUUUAAGCCUAAGAUAAAUUGGCUGAUCAGGC